rnacentral:rRNA from 1 species
ACGGGUGCGGAACACGUACGCAACCUUCCUUCAAGUGGAGCAUAGCUUUCGGAAACGAAAAUUAAUACUCCGUAAGAUCACUGGAUGGCAUCAUUUGGUGAUUAUAGAUCCGUCGCUUGAAGAUGGGCGUGCGCCUGAUUAGGUAGUUGGCGGGGUAAUGGCCCACCAAGCCUACGAUCAGUAACUGGUGUGAGAGCACGACCAGUCACACGGGCACUGAGACACGGGCCCGACUCCUACGGGAGGCAGCAGUAAGGAAUAUUGGUCAAUGGACGCAAGUCUGAACCAGCCAUGCCGCGUGGAGGAUGAAGGUCCUCUGGAUUGUAAACUUCUUUUAUCGGAGAAGAAACCCCAUUUUUCUUGAUGGGUUGACGGUACCCGAUGAAUAAGCACCGGCUAACUCCGUGCCAGCAGCCGCGGUAAUACGGAGGGUGCAAGCGUUAUCCGGAUUCACUGGGUUUAAAGGGUGCGUAGGUGGGCUGGUAAGUCAGUGGUGAAAUCUCCGGGCUUAACUCGGAAACUGCCGUUGAUACUAUCAGUCUUGAAUGUUGUGGAGGUAAGCGGAAUAUGUCAUGUAGCGG